UGUAAACAGGACCUACAUACACCCCAAAGGCUCUUAAUUCAGAGCCAUUUUACCAAGCAUCUUUGUACAUAGUGCCGGUUUUCCUUCAGUAGUGCCAGUUUUCCUGAGAUUUUACAUCGUCCUCCACUGCCUCCAGUAAUUCCUGGUUUUAAGGUGUAGUAAUGGAGUAAAGAUGCAACGGAGCAGCUGAUAAGAAAACAUGCUUAAGACCAUCUUAAACGUGCACCAUCAAGAAAGGGAGGGGUACACAAUAAACAUUUUUUUUAACAUUACUUUUUGAAUAGAUGCACUUUUUAAUUUUUUUUAAAGUAUAUAUAUUGUUUAUUUAUAUUGUUUUUAAAUGUUAUAAUUGUAUUGUUUUUAUUUGUUGUAUUUAGCUUUUAUGCAUUUGUACACACACAAACACACACACACACACAACCACAUUUAUACAAAAUAAGUUUUGAAUAAAUACGUUUAAUGGAGUGCAAAGUGUGAGUCUUUUUUUAGCUAAAUGAUGUCUAAAAUGAGUCUGCAGUUGACGUUAUAAGAUGUUUAAAAUAUGUCCACAAUGACCACAU